rnacentral:rRNA from 1 species
GACGAACGCUGGCGGCGUGCUUAACACAUGCAAGUCGAACGGAAAGGCCCUGCUUUUGUGGGGUGCUCGAGUGGCGAACGGGUGAGUAACACGUGAGUAACCUGCCCUUGACUUUGGGAUAACUUCAGGAAACUGGGGCUAAUACCGGAUAGGAGCUCCUGCUGCAUGGUGGGGGUUGGAAAGUUUCGGCGGUUGGGGAUGGACUCGCGGCUUAUCAGCUUGUUGGUGGGGUAGUGGCUUACCAAGGCUUUGACGGGUAGCCGGCCUGAGAGGGUGACCGGCCACAUUGGGACUGAGAUACGGCCCAGACUCCUACGGGAGGCAGCAGUGGGGAAUAUUGCACAAUGGGCGGAAGCCUGAUGCAGCAACGCCGCGUGCGGGAUGACGGCCUUCGGGUUGUAAACCGCUUUCGCCUGUGACGAGGCGUGAGUGACGGUAAUGGGUAAAGAAGCACCGGCUAACUACGUGCCAGCAGCCGCGGUGAUACGUAGGGUGCGAGCGUUGUCCGGAUUUAUUGGGCGUAAAGGGCUCGUAGGUGGUUGAUCGCGUCGGAAGUGUAAUCUUGGGGCUUAACCCUGAGCGUGCUUUCGAUACGGGUUGACUUGAGUAAGGUAGGGGAGAAUGGAAUUCCUGGUGGAGCGGUGGAAUGCGCAGAUAUCAGGAGGAACACCAGUGGCGAAGGCGGUUCUCUGGGCCUUUCCUGACGCUGAGGAGCGAAAGCGUGGGGAGCGAACAGGCUUAGAUACCCUGGUAGUCCACGCUGUAAACGGUGGGUACUAGGUGUGGGGUCCAUUCCACGGGUUCCGUGCCGUAGCUAACGCUUUAAGUACCCCGCCUGGGGAGUACGGCCGCAAGGCUAAAACUCAAAGGAAUUGACGGGGCCCCGCACAAGCGGCGGAGCAUGCGGAUUAAUUCGAUGCAACGCGUAGAACCUUACCUGGGUUUGACAUGGAUCGGGAGUGCUCAGAGAUGGGUGUGCCUCUUUUGGGGUCGGUUCACAGGUGGUGCAUGGCUGUCGUCAGCUCGUGUCGUGAGAUGUUGGGUUAAGUCCCGCAACGAGCGCAACCCUUGUUCACUGUUGCCAGCACGUUAUGGUGGGGACUCAGUGGAGACCGCCGGGGUCAACUCGGAGGAAGGUGGGGAUGACGUCAAGUCAUCAUGCCCCUUAUGUCCAGGGCUUCACGCAUGCUACAAUGGCUGGUACAGAGAGUGGCGAGCCUGUGAGGGUGAGCGAAUCUCGGAAAGCCGGUCUCAGUUCGGAUUGGGGUCUGCAACUCGACCUCAUGAAGUCGGAGUCGCUAGUAAUCGCAGAUCAGCAACGCUGCGGUGAAUACGUUCCCGGG